UGACAUCUGACCCUCUCUUAUAUCUUUUGGUUAUAUAUGGUAGUUCAUUCUGAAAUUUCCUUUCUCAUAGUAAAUGUUUGGCAGUUUUGUUUUAAGGGGAGGAUUUGUUGCAUUCUUUAGGUUAGGCUGCUUACCUCUUGAAUGCUAGCCCCCCUACCCCACCCCACCCCACCCUCCAAGCAAAAUUAGCCCAUGAAAAUGUAACUCGUCCAAGUAUGGGUUGUUUAUGACCCGCUUAUUAGCCCAUUUAAGCACAAAUGGUUUUUGGGCGGGUCAAUAGUUCGUCUUUUUAUUAACUCAUCCCAUUUUAACAUGUUCAAUUUCAAUUCAACCUUCUAGUAGCUACUAAGAUGUGAGCAAGAUUAAGAACUAGGUUAUGAGAAUUAAUGAUUGGUAGUUUAUUCACAAAAAAGGUUAGUUUGGUGCAUGAAUCAUCCUGCUGUCACUCAGGGUUUGGAGAAGAAGGGUCAUUCACCAAAGUAGUGUAAUGUAGACACCCUAUCCGGAGACAAAAAUAAUAACCAAUUCCACUGCUCGAGCUCGUAACCUAUUGAAAACAUGUAUCCUUACAAGGUUGAGGAUAAGGCUUUGCACAUACUACUACUCUCAGAUUUCACUUGUGGAAUUACACUAAAUAUGUUGUUGUUGUGAACUCGUAACUUAUCGAUCAUACUGAGAUAACUUUAUUAUUGCUCAGAUUUCUCAUGUAUAUGUAGUGUUUUUUUGAGAAAAUUUUUGUAGGGUCAAAUCCUGAUUCAUUUUUCUGUAUGGCAGGUGGUAAAAAUAGGCAAGAUGUUCAACAAACUAAUCAGAGAUAUCCAUGCAUAUGAGAAAUGGCAAAAACCUAAAGAAUUGGACCUAUUGAUAUAUAGUAAUUUGAUCUUUAGAUAUAGUAAUUUGGUAGAUUUAAAUAAUUGAACUUAGCAUAUGGUUGUGUGUGUAAUUUUUAUCUAAUUACCAAUUGUCUUUUUGAGGGAAAAUGGUGGUGUCUUUUGGCAAAAGGGCCUGUUUUUAAAUCUUUCCCUUUUUUGGUGUCUACAUAUGGCAAUUGUAAUGUGACUUCUCUUUAAAUAUGUGUAUUAUAAUAAAUGCUUCUAGUUUUGGC
rnacentral:lncRNA from 1 species